UGCGUGCAUAUGCACGCGCACGCAAGCUCACUGGGAAAACAUGGCGGAGCCGGCUGGAUUUAAAUUGCCUUUUCGCAAAGUUGGGCGGCGAGACUGUUUUUUGAUUUGGAUUGGAGAGCUGCAGGAACGUCACCUCUUAGUAAUUUAGGAUUAAGAGUACGGAAGCUAUGUCUUCCGUUGAUCGCAUGCCAUUUGACUUCCUUUUUAUUUCCCGAGUUUUAUUUAAAUGUUGGUUAUUCAUAGCUUAGUACUAGGUCUGUUGCCUCCUCAUAUUCUUAAUUAAUCUCAGUAACUUUGUUAGCCUUUUAUUUUAAAAUAAUUCACACUUAUAAAUAUAUUGCUAAACGAGUACAAGUAAUUCCCAGAAACCCUUCUAGAUUCUACAAAUGUCAGCAUUUUGCAUUUGCUCUGUCAUUCUACCAUUUGAGAGGAAAUUGCAGACAUGAUGUCGCUUUAUCUCUACAUUCUUUUUUAGAGACAGGGUCUCGCCCAGUCGCCCAGGCUGCAGUGCAGUGGCGGUUCCCUGCAGCCUCUAACUUCUGGGCGAAGACGAUCCUCCUGCCUCCGCCUCUCAAAGUGCUGAGAUUCCGGCGUAAGCCACCAUGCUCAGCCUAUCUAUACAUUCUUAAAAUGGGUAUUUCCAAACAACAGAGAUUCUCUUACAUCAUCAAUAGACUUAUCAAAAUUAGGAAAUUAAUAUUGCUAUUAUCUAACCUGCAGUCCUUAUUCAGAUUUAUCAGUUGUCCCUCCUAUGUUCUUUGGAGCAAACGGGAAAAAACUUUUUUUCCAUAUUCUUGAUAUAAUGGAGGAUUACAAAUUGCAUUUAAUUAUCAGAUCUCUAGUCUUUGACUGAUAGUUGUAGAUUUAACCGUUAAAUUUGUAACAUGGGUUUGUUGGAGUUUUCCUCAUUCGAUUCAGAUAGUGAAGUUUUGGUAGAAAUGCUAUGUUCUUGUUGCAUCACAUCAGAACACAUCUAUCUAUCUACACAUAAACACAUAUUCUAUUUAAUUUAAUUUUUUGAGACGGAUUCCCUCUCUGUCACCUAGGCUGGAAUGCAGUGGUGAUCUCAGUUCACUGCAACCUCGACCUCCCGAGUUCAAGCGAUUCUCCUGCCUCAGCCUCCCGAGUAGCUGGGACUACACGUGUGCACCAUCACACCCAGCUAAUUUUUGUAUUUUUAGUAGAGACGGGGUUUCACCAUGUUGGCCAGGAUGGUCUCGAUCUCUUGACCUCAUGAACCACCCGCCUCAGCCUCCCGAAGUGCUGGGAUUACAGGUGUGAGCCACUGCACCUGGCCAUGCCUUUUUAAAAGAGAUAGGGUCUGGCUGUGUUGCCCAGGCUGGAGGGCAGUGGCUAUUCACAGGUCUGAUUGUGGCCCACUACAGCCUUGAAUUCAGGGGCUCAAGCAGGUCUGCCUCAGCCUCUGGAAUAGCUGGGGCUACAGGGACACACCAUCACACACAGGUUCCCAAUAUCGUGGUGAUAUUUUAUUUUUUAGAUUUUACCCAUGCCAGUGCAGAGAGAUGUUACCUUUUACCUCUUGAUUAAGGUCAUGGUCUUUGCCAUGACAGUUCCCAGACAUAUUUCAAGCCUUUCCGGUUGUGUGCCUCAGGAAGGCCCGCCCUACUCGUCCAAUCACCGAGAGGGAGGGCACUUUGAGGGUAAUGCCAGGAAUCAAGAUGGCGCCCUGAGUCCGCUCUCAGCUACUUCGAUCUCUGCUUGAAAAACCACAUCCUGUCUGCUACACCCAACCGAUCCCGCAAGUGAAUGAGAACAUGUGAUGUUUGUCUUUCUGUGCCUGGCUUAUUUCACUUAACGUGAUGAUCUCCAGCUCCAUUCAUCCUGUCACAGAUGACAGAACCUCUUUCUUUUGCUGGCUGAGGAGCAGCCCGUCAUCGUGUGGGUCCUGGGCUGGCCUGGUCCCUCAGCUCAGGGAUCCAGCUCACUCUCUACAUUUCUAACAUCCAUGAGGUGGCUCUUAUUCUCACUACUUCAGGCCUACAGAUCCUGCCCUUACACUUCACAGCAGGAUAAAGGAAAAGGGCAAAAGAGAUGGGGUUUCACCAAGCUGGCCAGGCUGGUCUCCAACUCCUGACCUCAAGUAAUCCACCUGCCUCUGCCUUCCAAGGUGCUGGGAUUAGAGCAAACGUUGACUAAGCACCUUCAAGGCUCCAGCCCUGGUGCUGAGUGCUGGGAAUAUGAAGAUACUAAGACAAGCCUCUGCCCUCCAGGGCUGCCCAGUCCGCUGGCCGUUGGCUUCCAGGCUUUUCCAGGAGGAUGGACACCUGUAAGCAACUCCUCUAAAUUCUCCACCAUCUCUUCUGGGAAACUCACAAGGGAUCGGUCUGAUUGGCUUUCACCCGAAGUGGUGAAUUGAAAUGCUUACAGGAGCUGGGCAGGUAACAAAGGUAAGUAAUAAAUGAGUGAAGUAGAUUAGGUUUAUUAACAGGGAGUGGUGGGGUCUGCGGCAAACUGGAGAAUCCACAAAUUACACACUGUCCUCGUUACCAUCCAGGAAUGUGAGCCUACUGUGACCAUGUCCUCCAAUUUUGGGGAGGAGUGAGGAGGUCAGGAGAGCUACAAGUAUGGAUUUUUAUAUGAAAUUUACCAAAUGUUAAUUAUGGGUAAUUAUUUUAAAACUUAAAAUGUAUUUGAAGGGGAACAAAAUAGGUCUUGGGCUACACAUACUCUGGGUAACUCCUGUUUUGUGCCCCUUGUAACAUGGCAGUUGUCUCUUGGAGUCAACUUUCCUCUGCACCAAGGGAGCAGGGAGUGCAGGGAUUGGCCUGUGAAGAGAGCUGGGAACACAGGUGAAGACUUCCUUCUGUCUCUGGGAACUUAGGGAUACAGACUUCCUGAGGGCUCUGUAAAUUCCAGAUGGCCAUGGAGCCUGUCUGAAGGGUUAUUCUUCAGCUGCCCUCCCAGAGACCCAUAGCCUAGUGUUAAAUUUAGAUCUCACCCUCUUCAGUUUCUUACAAGCUAGUAAAGGGAUGAGACUUCCCCCCUCCCAAGCAUUUAGUCCUGUUUAUGACCAUGUUUUCUCCCCAGCUGUAUAUGUCUUUUCUCAGCUAUUGUCUCACAGGUAUUUCCCUAAUGCAUUACCUGAUAGGAAUGAUACAGGAUGGAUGUCCCUGAUGGGAUGUGCCUCUACUUAGCCUGCCACUCACAAGGGAUAGAACAAACAGUAAGAUUAAAAACCAUGCGUUUGCUUCCACACACCU